GAAGACUGUGAUGCCCAAACCGAAUCAUUUGUUGUAACUGCCAAUCGGUUUGGAUUCCUAAGAUGAAAGGAUCAGUUUCGGUAGAGUCCUGGUAAUAGAACACUGAUUUCCUGUUCUUUUCGACCCAAAGGCGGAUACUAGCUUGGUCAUCCAGAUCCAAUUCGUGUGUAGAUCUUUUAAUUAUCAUUCCGACUUUUUGGACAAACUGAGAUGCAUGGU
rnacentral:misc_RNA from 1 species